GACGAACGCUGGCGGCGUGCCUAAUACAUGCAAGUAGAACGCAGUUGCGAACGGGUGAGUAACACGUAGGUAACUGCCUGGUAGUGGGGGCUAACUACUGGAAAUGAUAGCUAAUACCGCAUACUACCAGAUGGACCUGCGUUGUAUUAGCUAGUUGGUGGGGUAACGGCACACCAAGGCAAAGAUACAUAGCCGACCUGAGUGGGAGAUCGGCCACACGUGGACAGAGACACGGCCCAGACUCCUACGGGAGGCAGCAGUAGGGAAUCUUCGGCAAUGGGGGGAACCCAGACCGAGCAAAGCCGCGGGAUUGAAGAAGGGUUUCGGAUCGUAAAGCUCUGUUGUGAAGGGAGCGGUACUUGACCAGAAAGGGACGGCUAACUACGAGCCAGCAGCCGCGGUAAUAC
rnacentral:rRNA from 1 species